rnacentral:rRNA from 1 species
GAUGAACGCUAGCUACAGGCUUAACACAUGCAAGUCGAGGGGAAACGGCAUUGAGUGCUUGCACUCUUUGGACGUCGACCGGCGCACGGGUGAGUAACGCGUAUCCAACCUUCCCAUUACUGUGGGAUAACCUGCCGAAAGGCAGACUAAUACCGCAUAGUCUUCGAUGACGGCAUCAGAUUUGAAGUAAAGAUUUAUCGGUAAUGGAUGGGGAUGCGUCUGAUUAGCUUGUUGGCGGGGUAACGGCCCACCAAGGCUACGAUCAGUAGGGGUUCUGAGAGGAAGGUCCCCCACAUUGGAACUGAGACACGGUCCAAACUCCUACGGGAGGCAGCAGUGAGGAAUAGUGGUCAAUGGACGGAAGUCUGAACCAGCCAAGUAGCGUGCAGGAUGACGGCCCUAUGGGUUGUAAACUGCUUUUGUAUGGGGAUAAAGUUAGGGACGUGUCCCUAUUUGCAGGUACCAUACGAAUAAGGACCGGCUAAUUCCGUG